rnacentral:rRNA from 1 species
GAUGAACGCUGGCGGCGUGCUUAACACAUGCAAGUCGAACGAUGAAGCCCAGCUUGCUGGGUGGAUUAGUGGCGAACGGGUGAGUAACACGUGAGUAACCUGCCCUUAACUCUGGGAUAAGCCUGGGAAACUGGGUCUAAUACCGGAUAGGAGCGCCUACCGCAUGGUGGGUGUUGGAAAGAUUUAUCGGUUUUGGAUGGACUCGCGGCCUAUCAGCUUGUUGGUAAGGUAAUGGCUCACCAAGGCGACGACGGGUAGCCGGCCUGAGAGGGUGACCGGCCACACUGGGACUGAGACACGGCCCAGACUCCUACGGGAGGCAGCAGUGGGGAAUAUUGCACAAUGGGCGAAAGCCUGAUGCAGCGACGCCGCGUGAGGGAUGACGGCCUUCGGGUUGUAAACCUCUUUCAGUAGGGAAGAAGCGAAAGUGACGGUACCUGCAGAAGAAGCACCGGCUAACUACGUG